rnacentral:rRNA from 1 species
ACAGCGGCGAACGGGUGAGUAACACGUGGGUAAUCAACCCUCGGUACCGGGAUAGCCCGGGGAAACCCGGAUUAAUACCGGAUGGCCCUUUGGAUCUUCGGAUCUGACGGAAAAGGUAGCUUCGGCCUCCGACCGAGGACGAGCCCGCGGCGGAUUAGCUUGUUGGUGAGGUAACGGCCUACCAAGGCGGCGAUCCGUAGCUGGUCUGAGAGGACGAUCAGCCACACUGGGACUGAGACACGGCCCAG